rnacentral:lncRNA from 1 species
GCAAUAGCAAAGAAAUUAAGAAUGACCCAUCCUCCCAAUCUUCAAUUCUUUAAGGAGAGCAGGCAAGUUCCUCAAACCGAGGAGCUAGCCAAACCCACUGCGAUGGCAUCUCUGAAGAGGGAAAACCUUAUGUCCGCAUGGAAUCUUUUUGGACCUGCUUAUGCUUGCUUAGCAAUUCUAUAUAUAUUCAAUUAUCCCUGC